ACUACGGGAGGCUGCAGUCGAGAAUCAUUCACAAUGGGGGAAACCCUGAUGGGGCGACGCCGCGUGGGGGAAUGAAGGUCUGCGGAUUGUAAACCCCUGUCAUGUGGGAGCAAAUUAAAAAGAUAGUACCACAAGAGGAAGAGACGGCGAACUCUGUGCCAGCAGCCGCGGUAAUACAGAGGUCGCAAGCGUUGUUCGGAACCACUGGGCGUAAAGCGUGCGUAGGCUGUUUCGUAAGUCGUGUGUGAAAGGCGCGGGCUCAACCCGCGGACGGCACAUGUUACUGCGAGACUAGGGUAAUGGAGUGGGAACCGGAAUUCUCGGUGUAGCCGU
rnacentral:rRNA from 1 species